GAAAUUUGUGGCACAUAUAGGAUGAGAACCUGUUUUUAAAACAUAUAGGUUCGAUUCGAGCUGCUUUUCGGCGAGAAAACAUCGGAGCUUGCGACGAUGGCCCGCAGGGCAAGCGCGAAGCGCGCAGUAAUCCUAUACGACCCACCA
rnacentral:sRNA from 1 species